AUGAUGAAGUAUGAGGCUAUGACUGACUCCCACUUCGAGAAUCUAUACAAGUACAGAGAGACAUGGGUGCCAUGCUACUUCAAGCAUCAAUUCUUCCCUUUCUUGGAGUCAACUCAACGCAGCGAGGGGUUCAACGCUGUCCUUAAGCGAUAUGUGAACCCACACAAGUCCAUUUUGAACUUUGUGAAGCAAUAUCAGAAAAUCCAAACACACAUACUAGUCCAGGAGGGUUCAAAAGACUACAGGACAGGACAUUUACAGACUGAAAUGUGGUCAUCUUACCCAAUAGAGAAGCAAGCGUACGAUUCGUAUACUAGGGACUUAUACGAGAAGUUUCGUGAUGACUUUCAGUUGACUACAAGGUACAAUGUGUGA
rnacentral:rRNA from 1 species